rnacentral:rRNA from 1 species
CCUACGGGAGGCAGCAGUGAGGAAUAUUGGUCAAUGGACGAGAGUCUGAACCAGCCAAGUCGCGUGAAGGAUGACUGCCCUAUGGGUUGUAAACUUCUUUUGUAUGGGAAUAAAAUGAUCCACGUGUGGGAUUCUGUGUGUACCAUAUGAAUAAGGAUCGGCUAACUCCGUGCCAGCAGCCGCGGUAAUACGGAGGAUCCGAGCGUUAUCCGGAUUUAUUGGGUUUAAAGGGAGCGUAGGUGGAUUGUUAAGUCAGCUGUGAAAGUGUGCGGCUCAACCGUAGAAUUGCAGUUGAAACUGGCAGUCUUGAGUACAGGAGAGGUGGGCGGAAUGCGUGGUGUAGCGGUGAAAUGCUUAGAUAUCACGAAGAACUCCGAUUGCGAAGGCAGCUCACUGGACUGCAACUGACGCUGAGGCUCGAAAGUGUGGGUAUCAAACAGGAUUAGAUACCCGGGUAGUC